rnacentral:tRNA from 1 species
GGGCCAGAAGCUUUUUGGUAGAGCAUUGGGCUUUUAACCUAAUGGUCGCAGGUUCAAGUCCUGCUAUACCCA